rnacentral:lncRNA from 1 species
UUACACUCACAAUAGAUCAAAAAAUCAGAUGUACACACCAGCAAAAUCCUCCCAAAAAUCAACACAAAACCCUAAACAAUUUUCUCUACUUUUCAAGUUCUAGUUGGAGAAAAACCUAAGAGUUGAAGAAUCAAGAUAGGAGCUGAGAUAUUCACAAAAUAUGGUAAGUAUACUGCCCUUUUUAAUCCAUUUUUUUCUAUUGUUAAAGUAGAUAAAUUCAUUCAAUAAUUUUAAGAACUCAAGAGACAGUGAUCGGAAGUCAUGAGUUCGAGUUGUUCAACUUGUAGUGGAAUUUUUGUGGGUUGUUUCAUAUUGUUGUUGGGUUGUCUCUUUUGCUGCCAUUUUUAUGGAGUUUUGGAGGAGAAAGAAUGUGGAAAAAUACCACAUAAUGGUAUGAUGGUUGGCUGGUCAUCGUCGCUACAUUUUUGGGUUGUUUGAUACUACUAUGGUUGUCAUUUUGUGUAUGGAAUGAUCGGGGUAUGUUGGGAUAUUUUGUGGUAUUUUGUGAUGGAUAUUAUGUUUGAAAAUGAUGUAUAUAUGUUGUUAUUGUUGUGUUCUUGCGUUGUUGGUGUUAUGUCGAAUUAGGGGGAAGUAAAGAUUAUAGGGGAAAUGCUGCCCGUUUUGUUACAAAAUAAGCUUGUCGUUCGUUGUGUGAUAGUUGUACCUUGCAUAAUUUGAUGAUAGUAUUGUUAUAACUAUUGUAGAUUAAGGUGCAACAAGACAAGUUUAACGUGGUUAUUGGACAUAUUGUGAUAAGGU